rnacentral:rRNA from 1 species
GACGAACGCUGGCGGCGUGCUUAACACAUGCAAGUCGAACGGUGAAGCGCCUUCCUUUUUGGUGGGUGUGGAUGAGUGGCGAACGGGUGAGUAACACGUGAGUAACCUGCCCCCUUCUUCUGGAUAACCGCAUGAAAGUGUGGCUAAUACGGGAUAUUCUGGGUCUGUCGCAUGAUGGGUCUGGGAAAGAUAUUGUUUCGGUGGGGGAUGGGCUCGCGGCCUAUCAGCUUGUUGGUGGGGUGAGGGCCUACCAAGGCGGUGACGGGUAGCCGGCCUGAGAGGGUGGACGGGCACACUGGGACUGAGACACGGCCCAGACUCCUACGGGAGGCAGCAGUGGAGAAUAUGGGACGAUGGGCGCAAGCCUGAUGCAGCGACGCCGCGUGAGGGAUGGAGGCCUGCGGGUUGUGAACCUCUUUCGCCAGUGAAGCAGGCCUGCCUCGUUUGUGGGUGGGUUGACGGUAGCUGGAGAAGAAGCGCCGGCUAACUACGUG